rnacentral:snoRNA from 1 species
UACAAUGAUGAAUAAAAUUUAUCACGACGGUCUACAUAGGAUAUCGCUUCGGCUUUAUCCCUUUGAUGAAAAACGCCGAUGACACGGCACCCGAACUGAGU